GAGCAAUGACGUCAAAUUAAAAAAUGGCGUAAGUUGCCUUGAAGGUUGGCAAUAACGAAUAGCGAUUCUCCGUGCCUAUCAAGUUUUCUCAAUGUUGAUCGUGGCCUCGAACAAGUCGCUACAUU
rnacentral:snoRNA from 1 species